UACGAAGGGGGAGCUAGCGUUGCUCGGAAUCACUGGGCGUAAAGCGCACGUAGGCGGCUUUUUAAGUCAGGGGUGAAAUCCUGGAGCUCAACUCCAGAACUGCCUUUGAUACUGAGAAGCUUGAGUCCGGGAGAGGUGAGUGGAACUGCGAGUGUAGAGGUGAAAUUCGUAGAUAUUCGCAAGAACACCAGUGGCGAAGGCGGCUCACUGGCCCGGUACUGACGCUGAGGUGCGAAAGCGUGGGGAGCAAACAGG
rnacentral:rRNA from 1 species